GCCUGAGUGGCUCAGUUGGUUGAGUGUCUGACUCCGGCUCAGGUCAUGACUCACAGUCCGUGGGUUCGAGCCCCGCGUCGGGCU